AACUGAAUUACGAGAUUUGUUAUGCUAUGAAAGACCUUUGAAAAUGUAACUACUACCUCCUUCAAUGACUUCAAGCUCAUAUUCCUCAAUUUUCCAAUUUUUGUACCACCCACGAACAGCUUUUAAGCCUUCCCUAUGUAUUUUCCCUGCCCCUCCGAGUCUUGCGCUUUCUUUGGAGGUCCACCAGCAUGUAGCCAAAUUUUGUCCGAAUACAUCGUCAGGUAUACCAUACCAAUACUUUAAUAAGCCACCAGAAACGUUUGCUUCCAAAUGCGAUCCUUUAUCAAUUUCUGCUAAUUUAUGGCGUGCCUCUGGAGAAACUUGAACUUCGGGUUGCAAAACGGAACGAAAUGCUACAAUAUACGCGGAAAAGGCAGGAAUAUGUUUGUGAUAUUUAUGUGAAUAUUCUCGUAUCAAAUUUACAAUUUCCGCAAUAUCAAAGGCUUGAGCAUAAGGAAGAUGGGCAUAACGGACAGAAUCUUUGGGAACAAAAGUCUGAAGAGCUAGUGAUAAAAAGUAAUGGCCGACACUUAAGGUUCCCAAGUCCAGCCAAUGCUCUUUUUCAAUAUACGGGGAAGACUGAAUAAAUUUCGUAUCAGUUGUUUUGCUGAUAUCUGAGGGACGCAAGAUUGGUUGGAAUAAGCCAUGAUCUUCUUCUAUUUUUGCUGUUUUAUGUUGUACAAUCAUUAUCCCAAAUCAAAUGAAUAAAAAAUAGUCCUUUCAACAUAACCGGAUUCAUGUACAAGCAUUAUUUAUAACAAGGGUUUACUUACUACUGCUAAAGGGUUUGCAAUUCCCUUUCUGUUUUGCGACAGCAUGAACUAAAAUGAUUGGCUACGCACUAUGGGUUAGGGUUGAUUGCCCAUGUAUCAUUAUAGCGAAGCGAAAAAUUCAUCUAAAUUGCGUGAACAUUGCAAAUAUCAUCGACUUAAGACAAAUUUACAACACUGGUUGAUUCUCCCGCUUUUCGUCAGAAGUUAAUAUUAAAAUGGCCUAAUUUCCUAAUUUGAAUAAAGUCAUUGAACCAAUUGGGUAAACAAUCAUCAAUCACUUCUUCCUUUUUCUCUGAUCUUGAAUUUAUAUCUAAUUGUCUGCGGUCUAUUUGUUCCCAUGCUUUUCACGCUAACAGCAUUUGAAAUGGUUACGGCAUAUUCAAUUGCAAAAACGAUUUAUAGUUUUGUUACUCAACUUUAGAUAAUAAAGUUCUGAAACUAAUAAAUAAACAAUACCAUCCCGAUACAAAACAAUUGUAUGCGGAUGUUUGACAUCUUUAAAAAUAAUUCUUAUUUUUUCUUUGAAGAUGGUCUUAUUAGUCCUUGUACGAAUCAAAGGAAUCUGAAGAUAUUUGGAAGAUCUUCUAC